UACGGAGGAUCCAAGCGUUAUCCGGAAUCAUUGGGUUUAAAGGGUCCGUAGGCGGUUUGGUAAGUCAGUGGUGAAAGCCCAUCGCUCAACGGUGGAACGGCCAUUGAUACUGCCAGACUUGAAUUAUUAGGAAGUAACUAGAAUAUGUAGUGUAGCGGUGAAAUGCUUAGAGAUUACGAUGGAAUACCAAUUGCGAAGGCAGGUUACUACUAACUGGAUUGACGCUGAUGGACGAAAGCGUGGGUAGCGAACAGG
rnacentral:rRNA from 1 species